UAUGGCUUAAGGUCAUGCACAUUAAAGUCUAUUUAGUACAGACAAUUACAUAGUUUUGAACAAUCCAACAUUUAUUUUUCAUAAGUAACAUUUAUUGUUAUACAUAGAUAUGGAAAUCCAGAUCUAUACACUCAACUAUAUUAAAAAAACUUAAACUGAAGCAACAAAUUUCAUAUUAAAUUUGCUCGAAAACCAUGUACCACUCUAUAUAUAAUAUCAACUCCAUAUAUAAUCUUUAAUCACCUCAUUUAAUCAAACCAAAGCUUUAAAAGAUGAAAAACAACCCAUAUAUAUAGAGAGAGAGAAAGGUGCAAGAAGAUAUAAUAAUACUAUAUAGUAUAUAGAUAAAUUUGCUUGAUCUAACAAACAAUGAGAUUCGGACCAUAAAGCUUCAAUUCCCCGAUAUGAGAAGCUAUAAAGAAGAAGAAGAGGCUUGAAAUGAAUCAAGAGAAAGCGAGUGAUGGGUUUGGUGCGGUUGGUGGGAUGUAAAAGAUGCGGUGGUGAUAAUGAUAGUGAGAGACUAAUGAUGAUGAGAGGAAGAGGGGUGAAGACAUGAUGAUUGCUGUUGUGUGUUUUUGCGUUAAAGGAAGAGAUAAAUAUCUCAAACUUGGGGUUUAUAACCUAAUUCACUCAUAUUUAUAUUUCUUACUUUUAGAUAAAUUAAGUAUUGUU